CGGAGGGUGUGAGCGUUAUCCGGAUUUCACUGGGUUUAAAGGGUGCGUAGGUGGGAAUGUAAGUCAGUGGUGAAAUCUCUGAGCUUAACUCAGAAACUGCCAUUGAUACUAUGUUUCUUGAAUUUUCUGGAGGUCAGCGGAAUAUGUCAUGUAGCGGUGAAAUGCUUAGGAUAUGACAUAGAACACCAAUUGCGAAGGCAGCUGGCUACAGGGAUAUUGACACUGAGGCACGAAAGCGUGGGAUCAAACAGGAUU
rnacentral:rRNA from 1 species